UACGUAGGGUGCGAGCGUUGUCCGGAAUUAUUGGGCGUAAAGAGCUUGUAGGCGGUUUGUCGCGUCUGCUGUGAAAAUCCGGGGCUCAACCCCGGACUUGCAGUGGGUACGGGCAGACUAGAGUGUGGUAGGGGAGACUGGAAUUCCUGGUGUAGCGGUGAAAUGACGCAGAUAUCAGGAGGAACACCGAUGGCGAAGGCAGGUCUCUGGGCCACUACUGACGCUGAGAAGCGGAAAGCAUGGGGAGCGAACAGG
rnacentral:rRNA from 1 species